UCAUUUGGUGGGUUUUGAGUGAAAUCCAAUCUCCAGAACUAUACAAUACACCAACCACCCCAUUUCAGAAGGAACUUCGUACGAACCUGAAUUGUCUGAUUUCAAGGACCAAUCGAUAUCGGAUUGAGUCCAAAACCUGGGGAACAUCAUAAUAUUUUGGGAGGAGUCAUUUGGUGGGUUUUGAGGGAAAUACAAUCCCUAGAACUACACAAUACACCAACCACUCCAUUUCAGAAC
rnacentral:lncRNA from 1 species